rnacentral:rRNA from 1 species
AACGAACGCUGGCGGCAGGCCUAACACAUGCAAGUCGAGCGAACCCUUCGGGGUUAGCGGCGGACGGGUGAGUAACACGUGGGCAACCUGCCUCAUAGAGGGGAAUAGCCUUCCGAAAGGGAGAUUAAUACCGCAUAAGAUUGUAGUACCGCAUGGUACAGCAAUUAAAGGAGCAAUCCGCUAUGAGAUGGGCCCGCGGCGCAUUAGCUAGUUGGUGAGGUAACGGCUCACCAAGGCGACGAUGCGUAGCCGACCUGAGAGGGUGAUCGGCCACAUUGGGACUGAGACACGGCCCAGACUCCUACGGGAGGCAGCAGUGGGGAAUAUUGCACAAUGGGGGAAACCCUGAUGCAGCAACGCCGCGUGAGUGAUGACGGCCUUCGGGUUGUAAAGCUCUGUCUUCAGGGACGAUAAUGACGGUACCUGAGGAGGAAGCCACGGCUAACUACGUG